AUGGCAGUCCAUCCAAUGGGGAGGUGCGCGGCGACAGCGACGAUGGCGCACGCCAUGCGAACCGAGCCCAAGGAGACGGAUGGCCCCUUGUCCUUGAGGAAGAGCUUGUCGGCGACGGUGCCGAGCGCGAGGAAGGAGCAUAAGACAUUGAGGCCGGCGACGAGCAGCAGCCCCGCACGGAUCAGCAGCCUCUUCCAGCUGACCAUGUGCAUGAUCUCCCGACCGUUGGCUUCCAGCGACGCCUUGACGAUCCAGAUGACCAGCGUCGCCGCCAGCAGCGCGGGGAAGAAGAGCCUCCGUCGGGCGGCGUCACGCUCGUCACGGCUCGCCACCAAGACGAGGCAGGCCGGGAGCAGCAACAGGAUGGGCAAUCGACGCGGGCGGGGCUGCAGAGCCUCACCGACCUGGCUCGCCACCACGGGGAAGAAGAGCCUGCGCCUGGAGGGGUGGGGCUGCUGGGGCCAACGCGCUCGCCACCAGCUCGUCGUCCGAGCUGCAGAGCCUCACCGACCUGGCCUCGCACGGCAGUCGGCGUGA
rnacentral:rRNA from 1 species